rnacentral:rRNA from 1 species
AUUGAACGCUGGCGGCAGGCUUAACACAUGCAAGUCGAGCGGGGUGAUGGUGCUUGCACUAUCACUUAGCGGCGGACGGGUGAGUAAUGCUUAGGAAUCUGCCUAUUAGUGGGGGACAACAUCUCGAAAGGGAUGCUAAUACCGCAUGCGUCCUACGGGAGAAAGCAGGGGAUCACUUUUGACCUUGCGCUAAUAGAUGAGCCUAAGUCGGAUUAGCUAGUUGGUGGGGUAAAGGGCUACCAAGGCGACGAUCUGUAGCGGGUGUGAGAGGAUGAUCCGCCACACUGGGACUGAGACACGGCCCAGACUCCUACGGGAGGCAGCAGUGGGGAAUAUUGGACAAUGGGGGGAACCCUGAUCCAGCCAUGCCGCGUGUGUGAAGAGGGCCUUAUGGUUGUAAAGCACUUUAAGCGAGGAGGAGGCUCUUUUGGUUAAUACCCAAGAUGAGUGGACGUUACUCGCAGAAUAAGCACCGGCUAACUCUGUGCCAGCCGCCGCCGUAA